UUUUUGCACUUGCCAAUUUAUUUUACCUAAACUAUAUAUAGUAAACAUUCAAAGGAUAUUGUAGUACAUUAAAAUUGUACGUCUUUAGUAGGCCAUGUUUUUGUAUAUAUAGAAUUUUAUAUAGAUUUACUAAAAGCUAAUUCUAAAUUUACAGAAGUCUUGUUUGACUAUUUAAUGAAAAGCUUUUUCUAAAUGAUUAUUCAUGACAUAGGAAAAGUACGAUAGACAAACAUGCAUUUUUAUCAAAGAACAUUAAAAUUUUUGUUUUUUAUUCUACAUCAUAAAGUUUUCCUUUGAAUGUUUACCUAUCUGUGUUCUGCCUUUAUUCUUUCUGAACCUUUGUAGAUAUAUAAAUUUUCUUGUAGUAUUAUUAUAUUGAUGACUCGGUUACAGCAAGUUAAUAUAAAGGAUUGUUAAAAAUAAGACUCGUGUGGCUUGUGUGAUUCAAAAAAUAGAAUUUUACUUUUUACCUGUGUGGUAGUAUAAGUUGUCUGUGGCAGAUAUAUUGCUUGCUUAAUUUAUUUUAAGUUGCAUUGUGAAUUUGCACCUUUUUUCAUACAAGGUAGAAUCUUAUUUUUACUGGUGGAUUUUUAGGCUGGAAAAUCACUUGCAUAAGUACUACUUUCUUAGUGUUAUCCUGUCAAGCAGAUUCAUGGACCAUACUACCAAAAAAAAAAAACAGGAUAUGGAAAACAGAUUAAUCUAGAAAUGAAGAAGAAAGAUUUAAUUUGAAUACUUGGUUGUUUGAAUUGUCGGUUUUACUAUCACAAACAUAGUUUUGAAAGAAAAUUCAUAGAUUUAAUUUGAAUAUUUGGUUGUAUCAAUUGUCAGUUUUACUGUCACAAAAAUGCUUUGAAAUAAGAUGAAACUUUUAAUCAAAUAAAGGAUAAUCUAGAUAGCAUCUGUCUGUUCUGUAUAACAAUAGGGUUCUGUAUAACAAUAGGGUUCUGUAUAACAAUAGGGUUCUGUAUAACAAUAGGGUUCUGUAUAACAAUAGGGUUCUGUAUAACAAUAGGGUUCUGUAUGACAAUAGGGUUCUGUAUAACAAUAGGGUUCUGUAUGACAAUAGGGUUCUGUAUAACAAUAGGGUUCUGUAUGACAAUAGGGUUCUGUAUAACAAUAGGGUUCUGUAUGACAAUAGGGUUCUGUAUAACAAUAGGGUUCUGUAUAACAAUAGGGUUCUGUAUAACAAUAGGGUUCUGUAUAACAAUAGGGUUCUGUAUAACAAUAGGGUUCUGUAUAACAAUAGGGUUCUGUAUAACAAUAGGGUUCUGUAUAGGUUCUGUAUAACAAUAGGGUUCUGUAUGACAAUAGGGUUCUGUAUAACAAUAGGGUUCUGUAUAACAAUAGGGUUCUGUAUAGGUUCUGUAUAACAAUAGGGUUCUAUAUAGGUUCUGUAUGACAAUAGGGUUCUGUAUAACAAUAGGGUUCUAUAUAACAAUAGGGUUCUGUAUAACAAUAGGGUUCUGUAUAACAAUAGGGUUCUAUAUAACAAUAGGGUUCUGUAUAACAAUAGGGUUCUGUAUAACAAUAGGGUUCUGUAUAACAAUAGGGUUCUAUAUAGGUUCUGUAUGACAAUAGGGUUCUGUAUAACAAUAGGGUUCUAUAUAACAAUAGGGUUCUAUAUAACA